rnacentral:rRNA from 1 species
CCUACGGGAGGCAGCAGUGGGGAAUAUUGCACAAUGGGGGGAACCCUGAUGCAGCGACGCCGCGUGGGUGAAGGAGUAUUUCGGUAUGUAAAGCCCUAUCAGCAGGGAAGAACAAUGACGGUACCUGACUAAGAAGCACCGGCUAAAUACGUGCCAGCAGCCGCGGUAAUACGUAUGGUGCAAGCGUUAUCCGGAGUUACUGGGUGUAAAGGGAGCGCAGGCGGCGCGUUAAGCCUGGUGUGAAAGUCCGCGGCCCAACCGCGGGACUGCAUUGGAAACUGGCGCGCUGGAGUGCCGGAGGGGUAGGCGGAAUUCCUAGUGUAGCGGUGAAAUGCGUAGAUAUUAGGAGGAACACCAGUGGCGAAGGCGGCCUACUGGACGGUGACUGACGCUGAGGCUCGAAAGCGUGGGGAGCAAACAGGAUUAGAUACCCCAGUAGUC